rnacentral:rRNA from 1 species
ACUAAAUAGAUACCCGGGUAGUCCACGCCCUAAACUAUGAUUACUCGAUGUCGGGGGAUUCGACCCCUCCGGUGUCUAAAGCUAAACGCGAUAAAGUAAUCCGCCUGGGUAGUACGAUCGCAAGAUUAAAACUCAAAGGAAUAGACGGGGACCCGCACAAGCGGUGGAGCAUCUGGUUUAAUUCGACAGUAAGCGAAAAACCUCACCAAGACUUGACAUCCCGAGAAGAUCGUCGAAAGAUGAUUGUGCCGCAAGGAACUCGGUGACAGGUGCUGCAUGGUUGUCGUCAGCUCGUGCCUUGAGGUGUUCGGUUAAGUCCGUAAACGAGCGCAACCCAUGUCUUAUGUUGAAUUUUUCAUAAGAGACUGCCGGCUCCAAGUCGGAGGAAGGUAUGGAUGACGUCAAAUCAGCAUGGCCCUUAUGUCUUGGGCCACACAGGUGCUACAAUGGGCAGUACAAAGGGGAGCUUUAUGGCAACAUAUGGCAAAUCCCAAAAGCUGCUCUUAGUUCGGAUUGAGGGCUGCAAUUCGCCCUC